GCUCUGCACCCUCCCCCCUUGCUCACCACCGCCAGCAGCAGCAGCAAAGAACUAUCUUUGAGCAGCAGUGUGCAAGUAUUACCUACAAAGAAACCGCUUUGAUAAGAUCGCCACGUGUAAUUUCCAUGGAAAUGCAAGCUAGAAAGAAAAGGAUGUUAGAACGAACAUCAAUCAGCAGCUAAGGAUGCAGAAAUAACCAAGACUAUUCGGUUCGUUCAUUAUCCAGACCAGGUUUCAGACUGCACUUGGUCAGGUUUCACCAUACAUUGAUAUGACUAAUCAUUUAUCGGAACAUGACAAAAGGCAAUCAACAGAGUCAAACAAUCAACAGGUGCGCUGAAGUCAUCUUAUUUAUUCCAAGUACCCCCUCCCCAAUGCUAGUUGUCGUAGUUCCGCUGUUCGCAUCCUUGUAUCUCUUCAUUAUCACCUCUUACCCAGCCAAAAAUAGGCCAUUAUGGGCUCCAUUCUUCCUUGGCCAUCUGAUGUCAGCCCAGAUUUGGUCUGGCCUUUUCUUACUUACAGUUCCC